rnacentral:lncRNA from 1 species
UCUUCUGUUGUUUAGAAAAAUUUAGGAAAUUUUUUUGCUUGUUACGCUCUUGUCAUUAGAGGUUUUUGAAACCAUCAAAGUAAUAUUUGAAACAAUGAAAGAAAAAAGAUUGCUACCCCAUGCUAAACCCCAGUUGAUGUAGUAGCACUUCCUUGUAGCAGCAGACUAUAAGAUAGUAGAUGUAUGUAGUGAAGCCAAUAAAUAUUCUCUGUUUAUAUUAAAAAGUCACCAUUUUAAGCAUGUCUCCACGCGAGAUCGCAACAAGCAAAAAAAUAAAAUUAUUUUAGGCUGCUUAACUGCAGAUUUAUCGCUUUUCAACAACCAUGUGAUUCAAAGAGUUUGAAUAUUUUUCAUAUUAAAAAAAAAUAUCUGUCUGACAAAUGUAUAAUAAAUAAAGCAGAUUUUUCCUGUAAAGUUAUACGCAUGUUGUAUAAAAAAAUGGAUUUGUGCUUGCACCUUUAGUCCAUGAUAUUGUUUGGUAAACAAAAAACUUGAUAUCAUGUGUUGAUAAAUAAAUUUAAAUUUGUUUUCAUUUAAUCCUUAAGUUUAAUUCUUGAUAUGAUUUUUUAAAAAAGAGUUACCAAAAAAUUAUCUUAAUUUUAUAUCAAACUAUUUUUAAAAAUAAUUGUUAUAAAUUUUUUUAUUAUAAAGAAAAUAGUACUUUUAAAGGCUUUUUAAAGAUUUAUGGUAAGACUAGGGCCCUGUGAAUUGGCAUUUUUUGUUUCGAAUUGAAUUGCAAAUCAAAGCAGGUCUUGAUUCGCAAUUCAAAUCACAUUUCGAAUUAACAUUUUGAAGUCUAAAUCUAAGCAUUUUUUAUUUAAUAAUAUAUAUUUCAGAAUAAAAUAAAUAAAACAAUUGUAUAAUCUCUUAAUUGAUGAUUUUCGCCCUGGUUAACCUUUUUAAUGACUGAUUAAAAAGGUAUUUAAGUAUAAGUAACGUUAUUUUGAUAGCGCCAAGGCCCAGAAUAUCUAAAAUACCCACAACAAAAUCAAACUAAGCAAGUAUUCGAUUUUUGAAAAUUUUUGAAUCGUAUUUUAAUUAACUUGAAUCAUAUUUUUGAUUUUAUUCAAUUCAAAAUCUCAAAAUUUUCGCAGGCCCAUAGGUAAAACAUUUUAACACUUUUAUUUCAAUAUAAUUUUAACUAGGCAGCUAUAUUAUGUAUAAGUUAAAGUUGUAAUUUUCUGUUAGUUAAUUCACACUAACAAAUAUUUUAUGUAUAAGAAUACAAAGUAUUGUUUUUAAAAAUAAACUUUUCCAGUUUAUAAAGUAUAGUAGGGCAAGCAAAAUGUACAUUCAAGCUGUUUGGUUAGAAAAUAGAGAGAAAUAGAGAGAGAAAAUACGAUUGAUAAUUUUUUGUGUUAGCCAUCAUCAUUAAAUGUAAUAAAUUGUUUCAAUGAAAUGCAUAAACUGCAGUUUAACUAAUAAAGAUUUAAGCUGCUCAAAAUUAAAUGUUGUGGAGAUAUUUAGAUCAGCAAUAGCAAGAAAGAGAGGAUUUUAAUAUAGUGCAAAGCCAAGAUGGCGCAUGUGUUUUUCCGCAGAAAAGAAAAAAUUUGUUUUGCCAGAGACACCUGCAUUAAUUUCCCUUAUAAGAUAAGUUACUAAAAAAGAUUCCUCAUCAAAUGGAAAGUCUCCCAUUACUGAAUAAGGGAUUAUGAUAACAGUUUAAACGGGUGAUGUCUGAAAUGGUAGUUUUUUUUAAACCAUUACUUUUUGCAUUUUUAAACCAUUACUUUUUUCACUUUUUCAAUGUUUUUUUAUCGAUUAUGUAUUUGCUUAAGUUAAUCUAUUUGUAACUUUUUGUAAAUGUACUAUAAAAAUAAUGUGAUGUGAUUAUUUUCUUAAACCUUUAGGUUAACAAAUUUUCUAAAAUAAGAGGUGAGACAAUUACAAAAAAUGUGAUGCCAAGGUUAGUAAAAGGUUAUGAAUAAAAAAUCUUUUGAAUCUAGUUAUUUUGA